GAUGAACGCUGGCGGCGUGCCUAAUACAUGCAAGUCGAGCGAACAGACGAGGAGCUUGCUCCUCUGACGUUAGCGGCGGACGGGUGAGUAACACGUGGAUAACCUACCUAUAAGACUGGGAUAACUUCGGGAAACCGGAGCUAAUACCGGAUAACAUGUUGAACCGCAUGGUUCAACAGUGAAAGACGGUCUUGCUGUCACUUAUAGAUGGAUCCGCGCCGCAUUAGCUAGUUGGUAAGGUAACGGCUUACCAAGGCAACGAUGCGUAGCCGACCUGAGAGGGUGAUCGGCCACACUGGAACUGAGACACGGUCCAGACUCCUACGGGAGGCAGCAGUAGGGAAUCUUCCGCAAUGGGCGAAAGCCUGACGGAGCAACGCCGCGUGAGUGAAGAAGGUCUUCGGAUCGUAAAACUCUGUUAUUAGGGAAGAACAAAUGUGUAAGUGACUAUGCACGUCUUGACGGUACCUAAUCAGAAAGCCACGGCUAACUACGUG
rnacentral:rRNA from 1 species